rnacentral:rRNA from 1 species
CCCACUAUGCUUAGCAGUAAACCCAGACAAACCAUAAAAUAUUUGUCCGCCAGAAGACUACAAGUAACAGCUUGAAAUUCAAAGGACUUGACGGUGCCCUAUAUCACCCUAGAGGAGCCUGUCCUAUAAUCGACAACCCCCGCUAUACCCCGCCUACUUUUGACCCACCCAGCCUAUAUACCGCCGUCUUCAGCCCACCUCAUGAGAGAAAUAACGUGAGCUUAACAGGCCUCCCCCCAGACGCCAGGUCAAGGUGUAGCUAAUGAGUAGGAAAGCGAUGGGCUACAUUUUCUAAACCAGAACCUCCAAUCCAACAGUGCCACGAACAAGACACCAAAAGACGGAUUUAGUAGUAAACCGAACAAA